rnacentral:rRNA from 1 species
GGUUAAGCGACUAAGCGUACACGGUGGAUGCCCUGGCAGUCAGAGGCGAUGAAGGACGUGCUAAUCUGCGAUAAGCGUCGGUAAGGUGAUAUGAACCGUUAUAACCGGCGAUUUCCGAAUGGGGAAACCCAGUGUGAUUCGUCACACUAUCAUUAACUGAAUCCAUAGGUUAAUGAGGCGAACCGGGGGAACUGAAACAUCUAAGUACCCCGAGGAAAAGAAAUCAACCGAGAUUCCCCCAGUAGCGGCGAGCGAACGGGGAGGAGCCCAGAGCCUGAAUCAGUGUGUGUGUUAGUGGAAGCGUCUGGAAAGGCGCGCGAUACAGGGUGACAGCCCCGUACACAAAAAUGCACAUGCUGUGAGCUCGAUGAGUAGGGCGGGACACGUGGUAUCCUGUCUGAAUAUGGGGGGACCAUCCUCCAAGGCUAAAUACUCCUGACUGACCGAUAGUGAACCAGUACCGUGAGGGAAAGGCGAAAAGAACCCCGGCGAGGGGAGUGAAAAAGAACCUGAAACCGUGUACGUACAAGCAGUGGGAGCCUCUUUAUGGGGUGACUGCGUACCUUUUGUAUAAUGGGUCAGCGACU